AGCGAACGCUGGCGGCAGGCUUAACACAUGCAAGUCGAACGGUCCUUCGGGAUAGUGGCGGACGGGUGAGUAACACGUGGGAACGUACCCUUAGGUUCGGAACAACACAGGGAAACUUGUGCUAAUACCGGAUAAGCCCUUCGGGGGAAAGAUUUAUCGUCUUUGGAGCGGCCCGCGUCUGAUUAGCUUGCUGGUGAGGUAAUGGCCCACCAAGGCUACGAUCAGUAGCUGGUCUGAGAGGACGGCCAGCCACACUGGGACUGAGACACGGCCCAGACUCCUACGGGAGGCAGCAGUGGGGAAUCUUGCGCAAUGGGCGAAAGCCUGACGCAGCCAUGCCGCGUGGAUGAUGAAGGUCUUAGGAUUGUAAAAUCCUUUCACCGGGGACGAUAAUGACGGUACCCGGAGAAGAAGCCCCGGCUAACUUCGUGCCAGCCGCCGCCGUAA
rnacentral:rRNA from 1 species